AGCGAACGCUGGCGGCAGGCCUAACACAUGCAAGUCGAACGAACUCUUCGGAGUUAGUGGCGGACGGGUGAGUAACACGUGGGAACGUGCCUUUAGGUUCGGAAUAACUCAGGGAAACUUGUGCUAAUACCGAAUGUGCCCUUCGGGGGAAAGAUUUAUCGCCUUUAGAGCGGCCCGCGUCUGAUUAGCUAGUUGGUGAGGUAAUGGCUCACCAAGGCUACGAUCAGUAGCUGGUCUGAGAGGAUGACCAGCCACAUUGGGACUGAGACACGGCCCAAACUCCUACGGGAGGCAGCAGUGGGGAAUCUUGCGCAAUGGGCGAAAGCCUGACGCAGCCAUGCCGCGUGAUGAUGAAGGUCUUAGGAUUGUAAAAUCCUUUCACCGGUGAAGAUAAUGACUGUAGCCGGAGAAGAAGCCCCGGCUAACUUCGUGCCAGCCGCCGCCGUAACAC
rnacentral:rRNA from 1 species